ACUCAUUCCGUAUACCUAUUGAGUCUCUGAAUAAGGGUUUGGACUAAGUUUUAACUUUUGAAACCGUGUUUUAUUAUUUCAGGAGCCUUUCAAUUUGUUUAGAAGAGUCUUAAAAUACUUAGAUAAUUAGAAUUCUACUUGUUGGGUCUGUUUGCUUGUGCACUAGAAUGAUGCACGGUUUAAUUAAAUGUACAAUUAUGACUUAUAUUAUAUGGAAUUUGUGAUGUGUUUUGAUAUUGUUGGGCAAGCUUGGAUGCUUAUCGUGUUGAUAUAAACAUGUAUAAUUCACCAAAAUGCUAUUAUGUGACUAUUGAUAUAAGCAUGUUAUGUAGAUGUUUGAACAUAUGUAUGAUUAAUGUUGAGAACAUAACAAUGUUUAUGUGGUUUUAAGCAUAAAGCAUGUCAUAGAUUAGCUUCAAUGGCCUUGGUUUAGUCAAGGUCGAUUCUAUGAGUUCAGAAUGAAAAGUACUUGAAUUUUUUAAAACGUCGAUGGCCCUUUAUGGAGUUAGUUAAUGCCGACUUUGACGGGGAGGUUGGUGGCCUUGGAUAAUAUCAGUUGGCAUCGACAGAGAGGUCAAUGGCCCUAGAUAUAUCAGUUAGGGCCGACAUAGACCAUCAAUGGCCUUGGAAGAAGUCAAUGGGGUUGAGGAGAGCGUCGAUGACCCUGGAUAAAGUCAGUUAGGGCCGAUAGGGAAUGUCGGUGGCCUUGGGCACGAUCAGUUGGGGUCAACAUGUUUUGAGGGAUUCGUUCAGAAAGUUUUGUGAGAGUUAAAUUUGAAUUUUUGGCGAAUUUAAAGUUUUGUGAGAGUUAAGUUUGAAUGUUUGGCGAAUUUGAGUAGUUUGAUUUAAAACUAUGCAUGCCUUAUAUAUGAUGAUCUAAUUCGUGACUUUAGCAUGAUGUGAUUGACAUUUAUUGUUGUUGUAUGUUUUUGCAAUAGUUGUAUGUAUGUUGUUUAUGGCUCUUUAGGUGUGGGAUACUUACCAGUAUAAGUGUCAAGUGUGUAUUGACCCUCCACAAGAUUUUGUAGGUGCUAACGAUUAUUGUGACCUCGGUGAUACUGAAAAAGGAGUAUGAGAAAGAUUGACUAUUGGGCAUAUGCCAUUGUUUUGGUCUCUUUUCUUUAUAAGAUUAUUUCAUUCGAACUUUUGAAAAUUGAAACUUUUUUUUAGAUUCAAGUAGUUUUUUCAGUUGCCUUUGAGUUGAGAGUUUGCAAUAGACUUUAGUGGUUUAUGCUGUUUGAGUUUGACAUUAGUCUUAGUCUGUUUAGUUUCGGCUAGUUUUGUUGAGUUUGAUUAAGUAGAUGCUUUGAAUAUUAAUUUUUUAGAAUUAUAUUGAAAUUCAAAUUGUUUAACAGGUGUUUUAAAAUGGGUAGUAUUUAUGUUUACGUCAUGUCGCCGAAAAUUUUCUAAUGUAUUAGAGAUGGUAUGGUUAGUUAUUGGUAAAAUUUUGGUAAUGUUCCCUAGGUGGGAGUUGAAAUUUGGAGUUGUUAUAAAUCUCUUAUUAUUAUUAUUAUUAUUAUUAUCAUUAUUAUUAUUUUAUCACUCAUUUUCAAAUUGAUCUCUUGCUUUAAUGCCGUAUAUUUUGCCAACUUUCUCGAAUUCUGAUACUAUGUUCUAAAUUUUUCUCAUUUUUUUUCAAUUUCGGAUCGUGUAUUUUCAACUAAAUUUAGGAAGAGGUCCUUUCGGCUUUCUCCAAAUUGUAUUGUUCUGUGGUUGGGGCCAAACUGUUUGUUAGUGGCAUUGAUUGGAGUCCCCUUUUUAACUGCUGAGAAUGAGGAGUUGGUGACCCCUUUUACCUUGGAUGAAAUUAGGAGGGUAGUCUUUGGGAGUGAUUGAAGUAAAUCCCCGGGUCCAAAUGGGUUUUCUAUGGUUUUUUUUUCCAAGAUAAUUGGGAUUUGCUCAAGGCGGAGUUGGGAGGUGUGUUCAGAGAGUUUUUUUAGAGAGGCAUUUUGAAUUAGUCGAUGGUGGAAACCUUUAUGUGUCUAAUUCCUAAGAAGGAGAAUUUUAAUAGCGUUAAGGAGUUUAGGCUCAUUAGUCUUAUCACUAGUGUCAAAGGAAAGUGCUCCCCAUGACCAUUGCAGGAACUCAAGGUGCUUUCGUAGCUGGUAGGCAGAUUCUUGACUAGGUUCUCAUAGCCAAUGAAGCCAUUGAAGAAUACAGGGUUUAUAAAAGGGAGGGUGUCAUUUUCAAACUCGAUUUUGGAAAGGCUUAUGACCAUGUCAUUGGGACUUUUGGAUAAAGUGUUGAAGAAGAAAGGUUUUGGGUUCAGAUGGAGAAUGUGGAUGUGGGGGUGUGUUAGGAAUGUGCACUACUCAAUCCGUAUUAAUGGAACCCCUAAGGGACCGAUUCAGGCUUCUAGAGAAUUAAGACAAGGGAACCCUCUAUCCCCCUUCUUGUUUGUAGUCGUGGUGGAUGUUUUAAGUCAUCUUAUAUCUUGGGGGCGGAAGAUAAUAUUGUUGAACCCUUCAAGAUUGGGUCUGAGGAGGUUGCAUUGCCCCAUCUUCAGUUUGCUGAUGAUACUAUCUUGCUCUCUUCAAGUAAUGAGGACUCCUUUUUUAUCCUUAACCACAUGGCGGGAUUUUUUGAAGCCAUGUCGGGGCUUAAAAUUGAUAGGAGCAAAUGCCAGAUCUUGGGUAUUAAUUGCGAGUAGGACAAGCUUGAUAGGUGGGCUAGAAAGAUUGGUUGCGAGGUUGCGACUUCCCCUUCACGUUAUCUUGGUCUCCCUAGAGGGUAACAUGAGAGCUUUGCCUUUUCGAGAUCCCAUUUAUGAGAAGAUCUGGAAAAGGUUAAACUCUUGGAAGAAAGGCUACUUUUCCAAGGCUGGUAGAUUUAUGCUGAUCAGAUCUGUGCUAAGUGGCAUCCCUGUUUAUUUUCUAUCCCUGAUUAGGGUUCCUUGAGAAAUACAUGAGUCACUUUUUUGUCGGAAGGUGCAAAUGAAGGCAAAGGAUCUUAUAUGGUUAGCUGGGAGGUUGUGGGGCGCCCUGUACACCAAGGUGGGUUGGAGAUCGGGAAUUUAAGACUUCGGAACAAAACUCUGUUGGCUAAAUGGCUUUGACGAUUUGCCCUUGAACCCAAAUCCUUGUGGCAUAGAGUCAUUGGUAGUAAAUAUAGUACUUAUCCCUUUGUUUGGAUGCCGAAGGGGGUUAAAAGCACACACCAAAAUCCUUGGAAAGAUAUCAUGCUGGAGCUCCCCUCGUUCUCCAUUUUGGUUCGUUGCAUUGUGGGGGACGAUCAAGAUACAUACUUUUGGGAAGAUUAGUGGGUUGAGCGAGUUCUCUUUGUUCUGCAUUCCCUCAUCUUUAUCACUUGUCUUCCUUUAAAAACUGUUUGAUCUUUGACUUUUUGGUGUGGUCGGGGAGCUCUGUGUCCUUUUCUUUUGGUUUCCGUCAUCAUUUAUCUGAUAUGGAGAUGAUAAAGGUUGCCUCUCUUCUUUGGUUGUUGGAUAAGUGCAACUUCAGGGAAGGGAAAAAGGAUAUUCGAGUUUGGAAGCCUAAUCCUCUGGAGGGCUUUUCCUGUAAAUCUUUCUUUAGGUCAAGGUUGGAUCCCUCUCUUGCUUGUGAGUCGGUCUUUAACGUGGUCUGGAAGAUUAAGAUGCCAAAGAAAAUUAAGUUCUUUACAUGGUAGGUUUUGCUUGGUUGUGUGAUCACCUUGGAUAGACUUGCUAAGAAGGGGUCCUUGUUAAUCGAUCCUUUUUAUUGUAUUCUCUAUUGGAAGGAGGAAGAAAGCCUAGAUCACCUUCUCUGGGGCUAUCAAUUUAUGAGGUCUAUGUGGAUUUGCUUUCUGCAGCAGUUUGAUUUUCAAAUUGCUGACCAGAGGGAUAUUUGUGCAAUGAUCGGGGAGUUCCUCCUCCAUCUGCCUUUCAGAGAGAAGGAUCGUUUGUUGUGGUUUGGGGGGUGUGUGUGAUGUUGUGGGAUGUUUGGGGGGAGAGGAACACUAGGGUGUUUAGGAGUUUGGAAAAGGACCCUAGUGGGAUGUUUCAUGUUGAUAGGAACCAGAUGGUUUAGAAGUUAUUUAUUGAUAGUUUGCGAAGUACACGAUCGUCUAUAUGUUCCGUUAAACGAUUUUACAUAUAAUUCUCUAUGCGAUGAAAGAACGAAUAACUACUACACGAUCACGUCUAUUCUCUACACGAUCACGCUUCCUUCCUACACGAUCGUUGACACUUGCUACACGAUCGCUGAUACUCUACUACACGAUCGUCUAGUAGAUGAAGUAGACGAUGAGUGAUGCUUCUGCCCGCCUUUCCACGAUUAGUUCUAACCUGAACUCCCCCUCACAUGCGAGAUUUCAACUUCCCUCACCCAAAAUGUCCAGAUGUUCAAUGUCCUCCCCUUUCCCGCUUCCUUCCACUUUUGAACGAGAACUUCUCCCAACUGAAUUGGAAGUCAUUUAGUUGUGGUCUCUAACCCCUCUAAUUGCCGUAACUUCUUGUUUUCCCAUAUUACCCCUAUUCUUCCUUCUUUGAUACUGCAGUACAAUCGGAGGCCUAACAUUACCUCCCUCCUCCACUUUUACUUUGUCCUCAAGGUAAAAUUCUGGAAACUGUUUCUGAAAAUCCACCACCUCCCAAGUAGCCUCAUGUUCUGGCAACCCUUUCCAUUUAACCAAAACCUCAUGCCCCCGAUGAGAUGAUUGAGGCCGAGAACCCAAUACAGCCUCUGGUUCAGUCAACCAGGUAUGGUUUUCAUUGACAAAAGGAUCUACAGAUGACCUCCCUUUUGGCUGUCCCAUCACCUUUUUAAGUUGGGAAACAUGGAAGACUGGAUGGAUUGAUAUUGUUGAUGGAAGCUCCAAUUUAUAAGCUACCAAUCCCACCUUGUCAAUAACCUGUUAUGGACCAUGAUACUUGGGAGAGACUUGGUGAUAAGGAUGCAACUUCAGCCAUACCCACUCUCCGACUUGAAACUCUACAUCCCUCCUCUUCUUAUCCGCAAAUUUCUUCAUUUUCUCUUGAGCCACCCUCAAAUGCUCCUUAAGGACACGUAAGGCAGCAUCCUUGUCUCGCAUUUGUCGGUCCAAUGUUGCAUUCGAAGUUCAAUCAUCCCCAUAAUAAAUCAACGGAGGAGGACGUCCAUAAACCAUUUGAAAAGGAGAAAAACCAGUGGAGGCAUUAUACAUAGUAUUAUACCAAUAUUCUGCCCAAUGCAACCAAUUAAUCCACUCUUUUGGACGCUCCCCACAAAAACAUCUCAAAUACAUUUCUACGCUGCAAUUCACCACCUUUGUCUGACCAUCCGAUUGAGGAUGAUAUGCUGUGCUACGAUGAAGCUUGGUACCCGACAGUCUGAACAACUCUUGCUAGAAGUUGCUCACAAAUACCUUGUCUCGGUUUGAGACAAUAGACUUCGGCAUGGAAAUAUGCAAAACUGCAAAAUGAUCAAGAUGUUAAGACAUUAGUGUGCGGAUUUUGUUCAAAAGUAACAAAAGGAGGAGUUUUUAGAAUGAAACAACACCUUGUUGGUGGUUAUAGAAAUGCCACGGCAUGUAGAAAAUGUCUGGAUCACGUGAAGGAAGAGAUUAAAGAGUAUAUGUCUAAGAAAAAGGAGAUUAAAAAUCAAAGAAAUUUGAUUGUAGACAUUGAUGUGGAAAACUAUGGUAUUGAGGAUGAGGACGAAGAUGAAGUGUGCAUAAGUAAUUCAAAUAAAAGAGUGGCAUCAGUUUCAAAGAAGCCAAGACAAAAGGGUCCAAUGGAUGCAUAUUUUACACCAAACCCGGAAGAUGUGGUGCAAAAUAGAAAGAAUGACAAAGGAAAGGGAAAACAGAGUACGAUGAAUGAGGCAUACAAAAAGAAAAUGAGGGGGCACACCAUCCAAAGAAUUGCUCGAUGGUUUUAUGAUGUGGGAAUACCUCUAAAUGCCUGCAAUUAUGGAAGUUUUGCCCCUAUGAUUGAAGCAAUUGGGCAAUUUGGUCCUAGACUGAAACCACCAUCGUAUCAUGAGUUGAGAGUGCCGUGUUUGAAAAAAGAAUUAGAAGCCAAAAAUGAGUUGAUGAAUAACCAUAAGGCAGAGUGGGCUAAAGUUGGAUUUACUAUUAUGGCUGAUGGAUGGACAGAUAGAAGAAAUAGGACAUUAAUUAACUUUUUAGUUAAUAGUCUUAAAGGCACCUUGUUUAUUGAGUCUAUCGAUGCUUCAUCUUAUGUGAAGGACGGAAAGAAAAUGUUUGAGUUACUCGACAAUUUUGUAGAACGCAUUGGAGGAGCCAAUGUCGCACAAAUUGUUAUAGAUAGUGCCUCAGCAAAUGUUAUGGCAGGGAGAUUGUUAGAAGCAAAACGACCACAAUUAAUUUGGUCUCCAUGUGCUGCUCAUUGCUUGGAUUUGAUGUUGGAGGAUAUAUACAAGAUCCCACAUAUUCAUAAAACACUAAAAAGAGGCAUGGAGGUUGGUAGAUGGCGAGAAGAAGCCUCCUAUGGGAUACAUUUAUGAGGCUAUGGAUAGGGCUAAGGAGGCCAUUACCAAAUCCUUCCAUGGUAAGGAAGAAAAGUACAAAGAUAUUUUUACAAUAAUUGAUCGACGAUGGGAGCUCCAGUUGCAUCGUCCUUUGCAUGCAGCGGGAUAUUAUCUUAAUCCAGAAUUCUAUUAUUCAAAUCCAAAUAUUCAACCUGAUGAUGAGAUUGUUAACGGGUUGUAUUCAUGUAUAACAAAAAUGGUUGCUUCCUUGGACAUUCAAGACAAUAUACUUAGAGAGCUAACCAAAUACAAGAAAGCUGAAGGACUAUUUGGACAGCCUUUAGCAAUAAGACAAAGAGACAAAAUAUCUCCAGUCGAAUGGUGGGAUGAUUUCGGACAAUCAACUCCAAACUUGCAAAAGUUUGCUGUGAGAAUUUUAGGUCUAACUUGUAGUGCAUUUGGAUGUGAACGUAAUUGGAGCGUUUUUU